AACGCUGGCGGCAGGCCUAACACAUGCAAGUCGAGCGGUAGCACAGAGAGCUUGCUCUCGGGUGACGAGCGGCGGACGGGUGAGUAAUGUCUGGGAAACUGCCUGAUGGAGGGGGAUAACUACUGGAAACGGUAGCUAAUACCGCAUAACGUCGCAAGACCAAAGUGGGGGACCUUCGGGCCUCAUGCCAUCAGAUGUGCCCAGAUGGGAUUAGCUAGUAGGUGGGGUAACGGCUCACCUAGGCGACGAUCCCUAGCUGGUCUGAGAGGAUGACCAGCCACACUGGAACUGAGACACGGUCCAGACUCCUACGGGAGGCAGCAGUGGGGAAUAUUGCACAAUGGGCGCAAGCCUGAUGCAGCCAUGCCGCGUGUGUGAAGAAGGCCUUCGGGUUGUAAAGCACUUUCAGCGGGGAGGAAGGCGUUAAGGUUAAUAACCUUGGCGAUUGACGUUACCCGCAGAAGAAGCACCGGCUAACUCCGUGCCAGCAGCCGCGGUAAUACGGAGGGUGCAAGCGUUAAUCGGAAUUACUGGGCGUAAAGCGCACGCAGGCGGUCUGUCAAGUCGGAUGUGAAACCCCCGGGCUCAACCUGGGAACUGCAUUCGAAACUGGCAGGCUAGAGUCUUGUAGAGGGGGGUAGAAUUCCAGGUGUAGCGGUGAAAUGCGUAGAGAUCUGGAGGAAUACCGGUGGCGAAGGCGGCCCCCUGGACAAAGACUGACGCUCAGGUGCGAAAGCGUGGGGAGCAAACAGGAUUAGAUACCCUGGUAGUCCACGCCGUAAACGAUGUCGAUUUGGAGGUUGUGCCCUUGAGGCGUGGCUUCCGGAGCUAACGCGUUAAAUCGACCGCCUGGGGAGUACGGCCGCAAGGUUAAAACUCAAAUGAAUUGACGGGGGCCCGCACAAGCGGUGGAGCAUGUGGUUUAAUUCGAUGCAACGCGAAGAACCUUACCUGGUCUUGACAUCCACAGAACUUUCCAGAGAUGGAUUGGUGCCUUCGGGAACUGUGAGACAGGUGCUGCAUGGCUGUCGUCAGCUCGUGUUGUGAAAUGUUGGGUUAAGUCCCGCAACGAGCGCAACCCUUAUCCUUUGUUGCCAGCGGUUCGGCCGGGAACUCAAAGGAGACUGCCAGUGAUAAACUGGAGGAAGGUGGGGAUGACGUCAAGUCAUCAUGGCCCUUACGACCAGGGCUACACACGUGCUACAAUGGCAUAUACAAAGAGAAGCGACCUCGCGAGAGCAAGCGGACCUCAUAAAGUAUGUCGUAGUCCGGAUUGGAGUCUGCAACUCGACUCCAUGAAGUCGGAAUCGCUAGUAAUCGUAGAUCAGAAUGCUACGGUGAAUACGUUCCCGGGCCUUGUACACACCGCCCGUCACACCAUGGGAGUGGGUUGCAAAAGAAGUAGGUAGCUUAACCUUCGGGAGGGCGCUUACCACUUUGUGAUUCAUGACUGGGGUGAA
rnacentral:rRNA from 1 species